CAAAUUCCUGGCUAAGAUGUUACUCCACUACUGGUUUUCAUGCUUUAUUUCUUGUGAUGUCACAACAAUCCCAUAAAGCAGAAAAAGCAGAUACUAUCACCAUUUUGAGAAUGGAUCAUCAAUGAUUAUUUUUUAGUCUGUGGAAAAUAAGGAGAAAAUCUUAGUCACUUCUUUGUAGUAGGGGCAAGGUUGUAUUAUGGAGAAGUUUUGUUGGAAGUGACAAGUUCAUCAAAAAGUCACUGGGAACGGAGAGAACAUUCCAGUUGCAGGAGACACCAGUGGGGAGAAGAUGACUUGUAUUGAUUCAGCUGGAUGGAGAUGAGUGUCUUGCUGAGUUAUCAAGAAUGGCCUUGAACUUGUGAUCCUCCUGCCACAACCUUCUAGUAGUUGGGAUUAUAGGCAUACAUCGCCACACCUGUAUGGAAAAUCAGUUAUUUUGAAGUCACUGGAAAGUUGCAUUUCCAGAUAGACUGAGCUAAGUGGACUUAAAAGAAGCAUACUACAGGGACACAGCCACAUCAAUGUUUAUAGCAGCACAAGUCACAAUAGGUAAACUGUGGAACUAACCUAGAUGCCCUUCAAUAGAUGAAUAGAUGAAAAAAAUGUGGCAUACAUACAUAAUGGAAUACUACUCAGCAAGAGAAGAGAA